AUAUAUGUAGUAUAUAAAAAUACAUUUAAUUUCCAAUUAAAAAAUUUAAUUAAUAUUAAUAUAUAUA
rnacentral:tRNA from 1 species